GCACUGCUGAGGAGUUCCACAAUAGGACGAAAUGGUUGUCCAGUGU
rfam:Schistosoma margrebowiei strain Zambia genome assembly, scaffold: SMRZ_scaffold0000718